UCGAGCGGUAUUGUUUCUUCGGAAACGAGAGAGCGGCGCACGGGUGCGGAACACGUGUGCAACCUGCCUUUAUCUGGGGGAUAGCCUUUCGAAAGGAAGAUUAAUACCCCAUAAUAUUUUGAAUGGCAUCAUUUAAAAUUGAAAACUCCGGCGGAUAGAGAUGGGCACGCGCAAGAUUAGAUAGUUGGUAGGGUAACGGCCUACCAAGUCAGUGAUCUUUAGGGGGCCUGAGAGGGUGAUCCCCCACACUGGUACUGAGACACGGACCAGACUCCUACGGGAGGCAGCAGUGAGGAAUAUUGGACAAUGGGUGAGAGCCUGAUCCAGCCAUCCCGCGUGAAGGACGACGGCCCUAUGGGUUGUAAACUUCUUUUGUACAGGGAUAAACCUUUCCACGUGUGGAAAGCUGAAGGUACUGUACGAAUAAGCACCGGCUAACUCCGUG
rnacentral:rRNA from 1 species